rnacentral:lncRNA from 1 species
AUGGGAUCGGGGCCGGGGGGCGGUGCGGGGCCGGGGAGGGCGGUGCGGGGCCGCCCCCGGCUCCCGGAGCCAAUGGGGCGGGCGGGGAGGGAGCCCGGCAGGUGCCGGCCCCAGCCCCGGGGCCGGGCCGGGGGGAGCGGAGGGGCCGCGGGCGCCGGGAGCCGGGACCGGGAUCGGGGACCUGGGACACGCCGCUGGUGCCCGCGGGGAGGGGGUUUUGGGGUCCUCCGUGCGGGCUGCUGUGCCCCGCCGCGUGGGCUGGGGGCCCUCUGGUUCCUUUGGCUUUGGGGUGGUUGGGGCGUGGGGGUGCCCCCACUGGGAUGUGGUUGGGUCCAGCCCAGGAUCCCUGGGGAUGCUCCCCGGGGAAGCCGGGCAUCAGACCUCUGUGUCCCGUCCUGUCCCUUCCCUGCUCUCCCCUUCUCUUCCCUUCCUAUCCUUUCCCUUCUGCCCUUCCCUUUUUCCCCUUUUCCCUUCCCAUCCCUUCCCUUCUUCCUUUCCCCUUUUCCCUUCCCAUCCCUUCCCUUUUUCCCCUCCCCUCCCCACUGCCCAGCCCCAGCUCUGCCCCCCCGGGGCCCGGCACCUGCUGGGCGCUGUUUGGCCGCAACCCGCCCCAAAUGCAGAAGUGGAAGCGAAGCUGGGGGGGGGGCACACACAGCUGCAGCCCCCCGCCCCAUUGCUUGGAGCCGCAUCCCUCCCUCCUCUGCUGCAGGACUGCCCUCGGCUUCCCGCGGGUGUUUCCCCCUGGGAUUUGCCCCCGGAGGAUCAAUAGCGGGGGGCCGGGGCCCCCCCGUGGGUGCGGCGAUGGGGCUGGGGCCACUCCAAGACGUGGGGUUUUCUCUGUGGGAAACCCCUUCGUCCCGCAGGGUGGCGGAUGGAUGGUGGGAGCCCUCCCCAGGGCUGCACGUGGGGGAAAAAAAAAAAAAGGGAAAAAAAAAAGGAAAAAAAAAGGAAAAAAAAAAAGGAAAAAAAAGGAAAAAAAAGGAAAAAAAACCACCAAAGCCAGACAAACAAACAAACAAAAACACUUUUACCGGAGGGAAAAUCCGGAUCCCGGAGGACGAGCGGCAGCCGCCCCUUGCGCCCCCCCGGCCGAGGGGGAGCGGCCCCGGGAGCGGGGUCCCGGCGGCGCGCCCGGGGCUCCCCCUGCUGGCGGCGCGCCCCCGCCGGGGCCCUGGAGAAAAGCCCCCGGGGCGCAGCGCUUCGGCAGGCCGCCAGCCUUGCCGGGCCGGGGGCAGCUGGCAAAGCCACGCCUGA